rnacentral:rRNA from 2 species
CGGUAAUACGUAGGUGGCAAGCGUUGUCCGGAUUUAUUGGGCGUAAAGCGAGCGCAGGCGGUUUUUUAAGUCUGAUGUGAAAGCCUUUCGGCUUAACCGGAGAAGUGCAUCGGAAACUGGGAGACUUGAGUGCAGAAGAGGACAGUGGAACUCCAUGUGUAGCGGUGGAAUGCGUAGAUAUAUGGAAGAACACCAGUGGCGAAGGCGGCUGUCUAGUCUGUAACUGACGCUGAGGCUCGAAAGCAUGGGUAGCGAACAGGAUUAGAUACCCUGGUAGUCCAUGCCGUAAACGAUGAGUGCUAAGUGUUGGAGGGUUUCCGCCCUUCAGUGCUGCAGCUAACGCAUUAAGCACUCCGCCUGGGGAGUACGACCGCAAGGUUGAAACUCAAAGGAAUUGACGGGGGCCCGCACAAGCGGUGGAGCAUGUGGUUUAAUUCGAAGCUACGCGAAGAACCUUACCAGGUCUUGACAUCUUCUGCCAAUCUUAGAGAUAAGACGUUCCCUUCGGGGACAGAAUGACAGGUGGUGCAUGGUUGUCGUCAGCUCGUGUCGUGAGAUGUUGGGUUAAGUCCCGCAACGAGCGCAACCCUUAUUAUCAGUUGCCAGCAUUCAGUUGGGCACUCUGGUGAGACUGCCGGUGACAAACCGGAGGAAGGUGGGGAUGACGUCAAAUCAUCAUGCCCCUUAUGACCUGGGCUACACACGUGCUACAAUGGACGGUACAACGAGUCGCGAAGUCGUGAGGCUAAGCUAAUCUCUUAAAGCCGUUCUCAGUUCGGAUUGUAGGCUGCAACUCGCCUACAUGAAGUUGGAAUCGCUAGUAAUCGCGGAUCAGCAUGCCGCGGUGAAUACGUUCCCGGGCCUUGUACACACCGCCCGUCACACCAUGAGAGUUUGUAACACCCAAAGCCGGUGAGAUAACC